UACGAAGGGGACUAGCGUUGUUCGGAAUCACUGGGCGUAAAGCGCACGUAGGCGGAUUCGUAAGUCAGGGGUGAAAUCCCGGAGCUCAACUUCGGAACUGCCUCUGAUACAGCACGUCUUGAGUCCGGAAGAGGUGGGUGGAAUUCCUAGUGUAGAGGUGAAAUUCGUAGAUAUUAGGAAGAACACCGGUGGCGAAGGCGGCCCACUGGUCCGGUACUGACGCUGAGGUGCGAAAGCGUGGGGAGCAAACAGG
rnacentral:rRNA from 1 species